AUAGCACCCUUGGGCUACAGCUUCUACAAAAACAAGUAGUGUUGUCACCCAGUCUGACUCCCUCCAUCAACAAGAGAUUUCCCAGCAUUGACUUCUACAGCCGCUACUCCCAGGGGAGGAAUGCAGGGCACGAGUAAACAAGCCACAGAUCACUGGAGUGCAGAGGACAUCAGAUCUAAGCUGGAAUCAGCAUCUGUUGGCGUUUGGACUGAGAGACCGAGUUAAUUUACUUCGGAGAGCUAAGUGGGAAGGCCACAUGGACUGACAGAUGGAACCUACUGCCUGGUUCACCCACAAUGGGUCCUGUGCUUGUGGAUGAAAGAGCAGGAGCCCAUCUGUGAAGAAGAGAGUGCUACAGCUCCAGGAUGUAGGUGUGGCUCACAGAGGGGCUACACUUCCCACACCUAAGUUCUGUGCUAUUUCCCUGUAAUGGCCUAAUAAAGCUCCCUUUUACUUUUGCUUCUCUGAGUAGGCUUCUAUUCUCACAACCAGAUGAUCUCCAAGAA
rnacentral:lncRNA from 1 species